CACACCGCCCGUCACGCCAUGGGAGUUGGCUUUACCCGAAGGCGGUGCGCUAACCAGCAAUGGAGGCAGCCGACCACGGUAGGGUCAGCGACUGGGGUGAAGUCGUAACAAGGUACCC
rnacentral:rRNA from 1 species